rnacentral:tRNA from 1 species
CAGGGAGUGGUUUAAAUGUAAAAUGUUAGUUUUGGAGAUUAAUGAUGGGGUUAUGAUUCCUUUUCUCUGA